ACUUUAGAGGAAAUAAUUCACAGGCAAUGCUUUCCCCUCAGCCUUUAAUUGGAUGUUUUUCCAGCCAUACAUCUCUGCAUCCAAGUCCCACAAGAGCAAGCAAGUGCCUUCAUAACAAGACAAAAAAAAAAGACAAAAUAUUCACUAAAGCAAAAGCCAAACCUUACAGAAACUACUCUAAAAGAGAAAGCACCAUGUGAAUAAGCAAGUUUCAAUGUUCUCAGUGAACACUAGUCUUGGUAUCUUCUACAUGCUCAUCAAAGGAAAUUUUUUAAUCAAAAAUCCAGUUAUUGAAGAGCCCCAUAAGCCAACCGAUGCUGGUGAGACUGGAGGAAGCAUAGGCAUUAAGUCUCUCCUGGUUAUUCCCUCUUCCACCUUCACCCACUCCCAGUCAGAGUUCAAAACUGAAACCUCCUCCAACUGAGAGUAAAUGCAUGUGACCUUCAGUUCCACAGAGGUUAACCUACUCUGAUUAACUUUUCCAUGUUAUUCCAUUAAAUAAAAACAGUUUUGACACCCAGAGACUAAAGCAUCCUAGAGAUAAUAUAAUAACC
rnacentral:lncRNA from 1 species